AUUGAACGCUGGCGGCAGGCCUAACACAUGCAAGUCGAGCGGAUGAAGGGAGCUUGCUCCUGGAUUCAGCGGCGGACGGGUGAGUAAUGCCUAGGAAUCUGCCUGGUAGUGGGGGAUAACGUCCGGAAACGGGCGCUAAUACCGCAUACGUCCUGAGGGAGAAAGUGGGGGAUCUUCGGACCUCACGCUAUCAGAUGAGCCUAGGUCGGAUUAGCUAGUUGGUGGGGUAAAGGCCUACCAAGGCGACGAUCCGUAACUGGUCUGAGAGGAUGAUCAGUCACACUGGAACUGGGACACGGUCCAGACUCCUACGGGAGGCAGCAGUGGGGAAUAUUGGUCAAUGGGCGAAAGCCUGAUCCAGCCAUGCCGCGUGUGUGAAGAAGGUCUUCGGAUUGUAAAGCACUUUAAGUUGGGAGGAAGGGCAGUAAGUUAAUACCUUGCUGUUUUGACGUUACCAACAGAAUAAGCACCGGCUAACUUCGUG
rnacentral:rRNA from 1 species